GACGAACGCUGGCGGCGUGCUUAACACAUGCAAGUCGAACGGAAAGGCCCUGCUUUUGUGGGGUGCUCGAUUGGCGAACGGGUGAGUAACACGUGAGUAACCUGCCCUUGACUUUGGGAUAACUUCAGGAAACUGGGGCUAAUACCGGAUAGGAGCUCCUGCUGCAUGGUGGGGGUUGGAAAGUUUCGGCGGUUGGGGAUGGACUCGCGGCUUAUCAGCUUGUUGGUGGGGUAGUUGCUUACCAAGCCUUUGACGGGUAGCCGGCCUGAGAGGGUGACCGGCCACAUUGGGACUGAGAUACGGCCCAGAAUCCUACGGGAGGCAGCAGUGGGGAAUAUUGCACAAUGGGCGGAAGCCUGAUGCAGCAACGCCGCGUGCGGGAUGACGGCCUUCGGGUUGUAAACCGCUUUCGCCUGUGACGAAGCGUGAGUGACGGUAAUGGGUAAAGAAGCACCGGCUAACUACGUG
rnacentral:rRNA from 1 species